rnacentral:tRNA from 1 species
GUGUAUUGAAUUUUUUAUUUUUAAUAUUAAAGAGCUUUGUUAAACUUAGACUUAAGUUUAGGUCAUUUUGGGGGUUUAGCUCAGUUGGCUAGAGCAUCGGCUUUGCAAGCCGAGGGUCAAGGGUUCGAGUCCCUUAACCUCCAUUGGGCUUAUGUCCUAAAUCGUAAUUAAGUAUGUUUUUAAGUAACUUUGUUAAAGUAAUUGUUGGAACGUGAAACAGAGGAAGUUAAAAUUUCUGGGUUAAGUUGAGAUCUGUUGAUAUUAAGAAGAAUCUCUAGAAGCAAAAGCAAGCUUUCGAUAAAACCCGAAGUUGUUUCGCUAAAGUGCAAGGAUUAAACAGGAUUGUAUUUUCCAGUAGCCUAUUUUAUAAAUGAUCUGCAUUUAGUAAAUAGUUUUUAGUUAAGAAAUAAUGUAGAUUGCUAAGUGUGAUGCCUGAAAGAAGGACAAGUAUUGUAGCGAGCCUAAAUCCUUGUUGUCGUUGCCAGUAUUUAGUGGUAGGGAUUCGGAUAAGACUGCCAUUUAUAAGUUGGAGGAAGGCAAAGAUUGCAUUAAAUCGUUMU